GCAGGACUGGAGAGCUCAGCUGGUUAGAGCAUCGUGCUAAAAAUGCCAAGGGUGCUGGUUCAAUCCCCAUACGGGGCAGCUGCA